GGAAGAAGCUGACCCAAACUGCUUUUUAAGACGUGUGCUUCUCCGACACUUCCCUUUGAUAAUGAGAGAGAAAAUUUGAUGAACUGCCUGCUAGAAGGUGAAGGAUGUGUCCUCGGUUGGAUGUCGCAAGCUGAUACUGAGGAUUUCUUAAGGAAAUAAGCUGGUGGCGUCAGACUUCUGUCUUUUUUCUGACCGUACCAUUGAACUCCAGGACAUCUUUGAUACAGUGUGAAGAGUCUCAAAGACAGUUAACUCAGUUUGGUUUGUAAGGACAAAAGGAGGAGACGAAAUAUGAAGGUGAAAACUGGAAAAGAUGGAAAUGGAGAAGGGGAUCGCAGGCAAUAAGUGGAGUCAAGGGUUCACAGAAACCAAGCAAAGGCAUUUGGAAAGCUUCAAGCCAAGACUGAAAUUGUGGUUUCUUUGAAGUCCAGAAGCAUUCUGCCACUGUCUUCAAUGUCAACAGAGUUUCCCCAGUGGGCUUCCUGUGCAGAGAUGCCAGGAAACACCACUCUUUUCAUUCACCUCCUGAAUCUCACUGAAGCAGCACAAAAAUCUAAAGUCUGUGUCUCUGUUCAUAAUGCGUUGAAUGAAGUCAGAGAGAAAGGUGUGCAAUACAUUUUUAAAGGCAUUCACUUUCCUUGUCUUCUCUGUGAUUUCUGCAUCUGUGCUUUUCUGGAGGAGGCACAGUUUGUGCUGUAUUUUAUGUCUUCUACUGCAGUUGUCAAUGCUUGACAAAUUAUGCAGAAUAUUAACAGACGUGUAGGAACUGUAAAUAGAAUGAGACCAUUAUAACAGGAAUUUUAAGACUAUGAUGGAGUCCUUUAGUAAUUUCAUUUCUGAAGUUAGAUCUGUUGUAUUUAUUAUUAUUAUUUUUUUGUCAUAGAAGGACAUAGUACUUUAUAAAUUCUUUGCGCUUACGGCUGUAUGAAAUGAAGUCAUAGACAUUAAUUUAGUGGCAUUAACCAUUAUGUUUUAUUAAAAAAUAUAUUUAGACACAAUGAACCUUAUGCCACUUUACACUUAUGAAAGCUGUGUGCACUUUAUAAGAUACUAGUAGUAUUAUCAAGACAAUAGAAAUAGUAUAUGCAUGGAAAUUGAAGAACUUAGUGUUAAUUUAUUGACUAGGGAGUUGAUUUAAACAUUCAUUUUCCUCUUUUAGUUAAGUACCUUUAAUGCUCUGAAAUUCUCAGUCAAAAUGACAGUUGUAUCUUUAGUAGUCACAAAGUAAAAUAGAAAAAAAUUAGUCUAAUACAAGCCCAUUACAAAAACCUCUCCUUUAUCAUUAACUAUAGAAAAUGAACAUUUUUUUCCCGAUACAAGAAAAAUGUAUCUAGAUUAAAGUGAAGAGAAUAGUUACUAAAGAAUAGUAUUAGCCAUACAUGGAUACUCUGAGAAGUUUCUUUCUUUUCCCAAGUGUUCAUAAUUCAUGUUCUUUUGUUUGGAACACCAUUCCUCACACCCAGAAACAUUCCUAAGUCCAGAAUGACUUGUAUUAAAAAAUGUAAAUCAGACAGGUAUGUUUGGGAUAGAUCUGCAGUGGGAAAAAUUCAGCAUAACUCUCUGUUCAUAGAAAAUACACCUUAGGGUCACUGAGGAUCUGGACCAUUACUUAUUGUGGCAACAACAGAGCGAAAAAUUUAUACUGAGCUGAAUUUUAUCCCAUAAGACAUGCUUAACACAGAUCUUUAUUCUCUCUUGCCAUAUAACAAACUUUUGCAAUUGAUUUGUAUCCCUGCAGGACACUGGGAAAAGCACAGGUGGCAAAAAUGUUAUUUUGCAGGGACUGUAACAAACAAACAAACAAACAUAUAGGCCAUACUACAUUAUAUAUUUUUCCCAGCUGAAAAUCCUACUUCUUUGGGUAUUUUCCAAACUAUAACAGAGAGUGAGGUAGUUUCAUUCU